UGAAUACGAGAUGCUACGGCAUUGAAGCAGUGUAUGUCAGACUUCCAAGAAAAGCUCGCAAUGUCAUAAACAAUUAAUGCCUGUACCAUAACCGACACAGGUGGGUAGGUAGAGUAUACUAAGGGGCGCGAGAUAACUCUCUCUAAGGAACUCGGCAAAAUGACUCCGUAACUUCGGGAGAAGGAGUGCCUUAUUUUAUAAGGUUGCAAUAACAAGAUCCAAGCAACUGUUUACCAAAAACACAGGUCUCCGCUAAGUCGUAAGACGAUGUAUGGGGGCUGACGCCUGCCCAGUGCCAGAAGGUUAAAGAAGUCGGUUAGCAUUGCGAAGCUGAUGACUGAAGCCCUGGUGAACGGCGGCCGUAACAAUAACGGUCCUAAGGUAGCGAAAUUCCUUGUCGGGUAAGUUCCGACCCGCACGAAAGGCGUAAUGAUUUGGAUACUGUCUCGGAGAGGGGCUCGGUGAAAUAGACUUGUCUGUGAAGAUGCGGACUACCUGCACCUGGACAGAAAGACCCUAUGAAGCUUUACUGUAACUUGAGAUUGAAAUUGGACUUUAUUUGCGCAGUAUAGGUGGUAGACGUUGAAAGUAUUCUUGCGGGAAUAUUCGAGUCAUCAGUGAGAUACCACUCUUGUAAUGUUAGAUUUCUAACUUUGUAUCAUUAUCUGGUCAAAGGACAGUCUCAGGCGGGCAGUUUGACUGGGGCGGUCGCCUCCUAAACGGUAACGGAGGCGCACAAAGGUUUCCUCUGAACGUGUAGAAAUCGUAUCUAGAGUGUAAAGGCAUAAGGAAGCUUGACUGUGAGACCUACAAGUCGAGCAGGGACGAAAGUCGGUCUUAGUGAUCUGACGGUGCUGAGUGGAAAGGCCGUCACUCAACGGAUAAAAGUUACUCUAGGAUAACAGGCUGAUCUCCCCCAAGAGUUCACAUCGACGGGGAGGUUUGGCACCUCGAUGUCGGCUCAUCGCAUCCUGGGGCGGUAGUACGUCCCAAGGGUUGGGCUGUUCGCCCAUGAAAGCGGUACGCGAGCUGGGUUCAGAACGUCGUGAGACAGUUCGGUCCAUAUCCGGUGUAGGCGUUAGAAUAUUGAGAGGAUCCUUCUUUAGUACGAGAGGACCGAGAAGGACAUACCUCUGGUGUACCAGUUAUCGUGCCAACGGUAAACGCUGGGUAGCUAUGUAUGGAGAGGAUAACCGCUGAAAGCAUCUAAGUGGGAAGCCCACCUCAAGAUAAGUAUUCUCGU
rnacentral:rRNA from 1 species